rnacentral:rRNA from 1 species
AUUGAACGCUGGCGGCAGGCCUAACACAUGCAAGUCGAGCGAGCGGCGGACGGGUGAGUAAUGUCUGGGAAACUGCCUGAUGGAGGGGGAUAACUACUGGAAACGGUAGCUAAUACCGCAUACCAUCAGAUGUGCCUAGAUGGGAUUAGCUAGUAGGUGGGGUAACGGCCCACCUAGGCGACGAUCCCUAGCUGGUCUGAGAGGAUGACCAGCCGCACUUGAACAGAGAGACGGUCCAUACGCCUACGGGUGGGAGCAGUGGGGAAUAUUGCAAAAGGGGCGCAAGCCUGAUGCAGCCAUGCCGCGUGUGUGAAGAAGGCCUUCGGGUUGUAAAGCACUUUCAGCGGGGAGGCGUUACCCGCAGAAGAAGCACCGGCUAACUCCGUGCCAGCAGACGCGGUAAUUC